rnacentral:rRNA from 1 species
GCAGCCGCCGCGGUAAUACGAAGGGGGCUAGCGUUGCUCGGAAUUACUGGGCGUAAAGGGCGCGUAGGCGGACAGUUAAGUUGGGGGUGAAAGCCCGGGGCUCAACCUCGGAAUUGCCUUCAAUACUGGCUGUCUUGAGUAUGAGAGAGGUGUGUGGAACUCCGAGUGUAGAGGUGAAAUUCGUAGAUAUUCGGAAGAACACCAGUGGCGAAGGCGACACACUGGCUCAUUACUGACGCUGAGGCGCGAAAGCGUGGGGAGCAAACAGGAUUAGAUACCCCCGUAGUCCCUGUCUCUUAUAC